GAUGAAGAACGUAGCGAAAUGCGAUACGUAAUGUGAAUUGCAGAUUUCAGUGAAUCAUCGAAUCUUUGAACGCACAUUGCGCCCGCCAGUAUUCUGGCGGGCAUGCCUGUUCGAGCGUCAUUUCAACCAUCAAGCGCCUCGCUUGUGUUGGGGCCCUGCGGCUGCCGCAGGCCCCUAAAUCCAGUGGCGGGCUCGUCGUCGUACCGAGUGCAGUAAACAUCCUCGCUCAGGGAACCCGACGGGUGCCGGCCGUGAAACCCCCCCUCCUCAAGGUUGACCUCGGAUCAGGUAGGAAUACCUGCUGAACUUAAGCAUAUCAAUAAGCGGAGGA
rnacentral:misc_RNA from 1 species